rnacentral:tRNA from 2 species
GCGCGCGUGGCGGAACUGGCAGACGCGCCGGACUUAGGAUCCGGUUCCGAAAGGAUUGGAGGUUCGAGUCCUCUCGCGCGCA